GUUUCUUGAAGACCAAUUAAAGACUGAAGGCACUAGUGUUUCAGUAAAGCAAGAUCCAGAACUGAAACAACAUGCUGAUGGAUCUGAGCAUAAUUCUGUUAAAGAUCCAUUGGGAAUAUCAUGGCCCACUGAUUUUAUCAAGGAGGAUCCUGAACUAAAUUUGGAAAUGAAUGUAACUGAGAAUAUUGUGGCAGCCUCAGAAAGAUAUGCAUCCGAUAGUGCGCGGU